UUUUCUUUGUCGCGCUGUAUGCGCUUGUGCGCAGCUGAUGGCGGGCUGCGAGGAAAAGGGCUCUUUUCCGAGGGAGAGAAGACGGCCCGUGGGUGGUGGUGACCAGACUUUCUGGAGCGUCUCGCUUAUAGGAAGCGGGGACGUGCACGAGGCAGUGGCUGCAGAACAACAAAAAAGAAGGAUGCCGGCAGCGGGAUUCCACACAGAGACACGCACGCACGCACUCACCACAAGUUGCUCCACCACUCCCGCCCGUGCCCAAGACCUGCGCUGGCCGCAACAUUUGUUCUGCGGGCCACUUUCUCUCGCAUCGGCUAUCUUGCUCGGCGCUGAGAGAGGCGCGCCGCGCGACACUCGCCAGACACCACAUCCUGUGGUGCUUUCGGACGCCUCGCUGUCUGUGCAGGUGAGCAGAUUCUCUCGAGGGCACCUGUGUUGCAUUACACCGACCGAUCUAGCCAGAGGAGAUCCGUGGAGGCGCCCUGCUCCGCUGCUAGUGAGAGUGCCGCCGCUGAAUUCUUGCGUGCGUGUGUGCCUUUGUCGCUUGACUUGCACAGUCGUCUUGCUUGCUGAAGACGCUGGCCAAUGCACGGUCUCUGUGCUUGCCCUCUCUUCUUACCAUUAUCGACCCCUGAUCUUUGCCCGGACCGCUUUUUACGAUGUGCUCCACCAUCCAUGUCGCUUGUGCAG
rnacentral:misc_RNA from 1 species